AAAACAAAAAAGAACAAUCCCCUUACACAAACGAUCUCCAUGGCUCUUCAAUACUUGCAUCAUUAGACCUCCGGUGGGAAAACUGGUGGGAUGAUUGUCCUUGGGAAUCAUUUACUUUCAUUUAUCACGCCAUGCAGUGACAGGAUAUGCGACAGGAUAUGACAUUGCAUAAACCAGUGCGGCGAUCAAAAAUCAAAAACCAAAAACCGCAUCCUGCCGCAGAUCCUGGGCGGCAAACAAAGUGCUUUUGUCUGCGACAAGGCUGCUCCAAAAAAAAAAAAAAUAAAGAGAAGAAUGUAACAAACGUGUCUAAUGCAGGGCAAGAUCAUCAAUGCCCCGGAGGUCCUGUCUGUUCAACAAGAAGAGAAGUAAUCCCAUGUGCAGCUGUCCUGCAGCAAGUCAGCAGGACUUCUGAUGACCGCAAAGUUCGCGCCCAUGUCGCGGCCACUGUAAUCCUUUAACUGUAAUCACGAAACCAAAACAAACAACACCCCGGAUACGGGUUCACGGGGCCAGGACAUCGACCAGAACGGCCAGGACAACAGCCAGGCGGCCAGGCGAUCGACGAGUGACCUCUUUAUUACACGGCGACGCGACAAUCUUGGCGGGGUCGCAAAAGGACAUUCUACCUUCCGGGUGGUUCAGUGGCUUGGAAAAUUCAUGCAACGUUUUUCGAUUUGUUUUAAAAUCCUGAUCCUGAUUCUCAAGUUUCCGAGGGCCGAGUGACCUUCUCUUGCUCCUGCUCCUGUUUUCAUUAUUUUUAUUGCCCUGUGUGUCGGACAAUUGAUUUUGUGACAUAAAUUUGGUGUAAACAGC